GGGGGGGGCCACGAUGCACAGGGGGCUCAGGAAGGCUGUGGGUGUCGGUGGGGGGGCACACUGCACAGGGCUCCAGGAAGGCUGUGGGGGUCGGGGGGGGCCACAAUGCACAGGGGGCUCAGGAAGGCUGUGGGUGUCGGGGGGGGCACGCUGCACAGGGCUCCAGGAAGGCUGUGGGUGUCGGGGCCACGCUGCACAGGGCUCCAGGAAGGCUGUGGGUGUCGGGGGGGGCAUGCUGCACGGGGCUCCAGGAAGGCUGUGGGUGUCGGGGGGGCCAUGCUGCACGGGGCUCCAGGAAGGCUGUGGGUGUCGGGGGGGGGCAUGCUGCACGGGGCUCCAGGAAGGCUGUGGGGGUCGGGGGGGCACACUGCACAGGGCUCCAGGAAGGCUGUGGGUGUCGGGGGGGCACGCUGCACAGGGCUCCAGGAAGGCUGUGGGUGUCGGGGCCACGCUGCACAGUGCUCCAGGAAGGCUGUGGGGGUCGGGGGGGCACGCUGCACAGGGCUCCAGGAAGGCUGUGGGGGUCGGGGGGGGCAUGCUGCACGGGGCUCCAGGAAGGCUGUGGGUGUCGGGGGGGCCAUGCUGCACGGGGCUCCAGGAAGGCUGUGGGUGUCGGGGGGGCCAUGCUGCACGGGGCUCCAGGAAGGCUGUGGGGGUCGGGGGGGGCAUGCUGCACAGGGCUCCAGGAAGGCUGUGGGGGUCGGGGGGGAGGCAUGCUGCACGGGGCUCCAGGAAGGCUGUGGGGGUCGGGGGGGCACGCUGCACAGGGCUCCAGGAAGGCUAUGGGGGUCGGGGGGGAGGCAUGCUGCACGGGGCUCCAGGAAGGCUGUGGGUGUCGGGGGGGGCAUGCUGCACAGGGCUCCAGGAAGGCUGGCGUCCUCCCUGUCUCCCAGCCGAGGGGGUCGGCCCCGUGCCCUGUUCUGCCCAGCAGCGAGCUGGGUGAGGGGCGACCACAGAAGGAAGAAGUUGGGACCCCUGAGGGGCAGCUGGACAGGGUCGGAGACAGCCGCUGCCCAUCCGCGUCACCAGCCCUGCCCGAGGCGGACACGAGUGAGGCUGUCCCGGAGGUGCCAGCUUGGGGUGAGGCUGUGGUACUGGCUGCUGGCUGCUGGCUGCUGGGUGAGGCAGGGAGCUCCCCUAGACGGGCUGAGAAGAGCUGCCUACCAUGGCCUUGGUAAGGACCUGCGCCGGUACCACCUGGGCAGAGGAGAGCUGGGGCCUGGGGCCUGGGACGUGGGGGGCCACUCAGCCAGAGGCCUCUCCCCAGGUCUGGCCUCCCCCUCCCCCGCCGCUCAGGCCAGACUGCGGUGAGGCCCGAGGCAGGGGCAGCUGUGGGUGAGGUCUGCGGCCCACAGGCCAGGCGUCUGACCUCCCCUGGGGCCUUGGCCGGGUCACAGUUGCCCUCUGUUCCUCACUGGCCAGGCUGGGCCAUCACCAGGGUCACCUUCACUGGCUGAUGGGGCACCACACCCUUCACCAGGAGCCCAGAGCCGGGCGGGAAUGUGAGUGCUUCUGGGGCAGGGCCAGGGCUUGCCGUGUUUCAAAUCUACCCAGGCGAGAUGCAAAAGGGCCACCACGUGGGCGCCUUCUCUUCUGCCCCCAGGCCCCCUCCACACCCGCGGGGCCCUGGGCGGCGUUGCCUGCUGCAGGUAAGCCCGCAGGGCUUGUGUUCUCUCGUCCGGGCAGGCAGUGCCUCGCACCCAGGCCGACUGCUCCGGCCCCGUCCUCCGACUGGAGUAACACCGCUCUUGUCCCCAGGAGGCGGGUGCGGAGGCUUCCGGCUGGGCCACGGGACCAUUUGAUGCUGGUGGUGGAGGUGCCCCAGCAGCUACCUCCAGUGUGCGGCCGGCCCGGCGGCCAACCUGGUGCUGCAGGCAAGGGCACAGCUCCACCAGCUGAGUAUGCCCGCGGCCGGAGGCCAGGACAGGCUGACCCCCAGGAGCUGCAGGGGGCCCGGCCGGGGUGGCCCCACCAGCUCAGGUACAGGGGUGCGUGUGCAGGGCCGCGCAGGGCCUCACGUGUGGGUGGCGCCGACCCCUGCGCGCGUCCUCUUGUAGGUGGACCUCCUGGACUGCAGGGGCUGCAAGCGCAUGGGGAGACGCAGGCCGACCGCCCCGGGGCAAGGCAGCCACUCUCUGGGGCGUGGUUGGACCUGGGCCUGGACAGCGGCCCCUGGAAACCGUGUAUGAGCACUCGAGAGACGCGACCUCGCGUGCCCGAGGCCCCGGCCCCCCCUCCGCCCGAGGGUGGCAUGGACACCUGCGAGGGGGCUCCCACCUGUUCGUUCCCCCGCAGGCCUUACAAGACCUCACCCCGCCCCGAGCACCCCAGCACGUGCAUCCGCCGCUGACCCCACAAGGCCCGGACAGCCGGGCCGCGAGCCUCGUCCUAAUAAACCGCAUUUAUCAGGAACAUGAAA